rnacentral:rRNA from 1 species
AGAGUUUGAUCAUGGCUCAGGAUGAACGCUAGCGAUAGGCUUAACACAUGCAAGUCGAGGGGCAGCAUAAUUGUAGCAAUACAAUGGUGGCGACCGGCGCACGGGUGAGUAACACGUAUGCAACCUACCCAUAACAGGGGGAUAGCCCGUUGAAAGACGGAUUAAUACCCCAUAAGACAGGGGCACCGCCUGGUGCUAUUUGUUAAAGAUUAAUCGGUUAUGGAUGGGCCUGCGUUCCAUUAGCUAGUUGGUAAGGUAACGGCUUACCAAGGCAACGAUGGAUAGGGGAACUGAGAGGUUUAUCCCCCACACUGGUACUGAGACACGGACCAGACUCCUACGGGAGGCAGCAGUGAGGAAUAUUGGUCAAUGGGCGAGAGCCUGAACCAGCCAAGUCGCGUGAAGGACGACGGUAUUAUGUAUUGUAAACUUCUUUUAUAAGGGAAUAAAGUUAGGGACGUGUCCUUAUUUGUAUGUACCUUAUGAAUAAGCAUCGGCUAACUCCGUGCCAGCAGCCGCGGUAAUACGGAGGAUGCGAGCGUUAUCCGGAUUUAUUGGGUUUAAAGGGUGCGUAGGCGGGUUGAUAAGUCAGCGGUGAAAUCUUGGAGCUUAACUCCGAAACUGCCGUUGAAACUGUUAACCUUGAGUGUGAACGAGGUAGGCGGAAUUCGUGGUGUAGCGGUGAAAUGCAUAGAUAUCACGAAGAACUCCGAUAGCGCAGGCAGCUUACCAGAUCACAACUGACGCUGAAGCACGAAAGUGUGGGUAUCAAACAGGAUUAGAUACCCUGGUAGUCCACACAGUAAACGAUGAAUACUCACUGUUUGCGAUAUACAGCAAGCGGUCAAGCGAAAGCGUUAAGUAUUCCACCUGGGGAGUACGCCGGCAACGGUGAAACUCAAAGGAAUUGACGGGGGCUCGCACAAGCGGAGGAACAUGUGGUUUAAUUCGAUGAUACGCGAGGAAUCUUACUCGGGCUC